rnacentral:rRNA from 1 species
AUUGAACGCUGGCGGCAUGCUUUACACAUGCAAGUCGAACGGCAACAGGGUGCUUGCACCGCUGACGAGUGGCGAACGGGUGAGUAAUGCGUCGGAACGUGCCGAGUAGUGGGGGAUAACGCAGCGAAAGUUGUGCUAAUACCGCAUACGUACUGAGGUAGAAAGUGGGGGACCUUCGGGCCUCACGCUAUUCGAGCGGCCGACGUCUGAUUAGCUAGUAGGUGAGGUAAAGGCUCACCUAGGCGACGAUCAGUAGCGGGUCUGAGAGGGUGAUCCGCCACACUGGGACUGAGACACGGCCCAGACUCCUACGGGAGGCAGCAGUGGGGAAUUUUGGACAAUGGGCGAAAGCCUGAUCCAGCCAUGCCGCGUGUCUGAAGAAGGCCUUCGGGUUGUAAGGACUUUUGUCAGGGAGGAAAUCCCUAGUGCUAAUAACACUGGGGGAUGACAGUACCUGAAGAAUAAGCACCGGCUAACUACGUGCCAGCCGCCGCCGUAA